CCCCGAAGGGUGGCCUUGUCCAGAUAGUGGCAAACCUCCCUGCCGUGGAUGAGUCAGGAGCAUUUUCUUAAGAGGAACAUCACUGGAAAACAAAAUGAGCGGGGACACAGAAACCAACAGCAGUGGCUGCAUUUGUGGUACAGGCUCCUCUUCCAGAGCUCGCUGAUGCCCACCUCAGACAGGCCUGACCACGGCACGGCUGGUGGGAUUUGCCAGUCACCUCAACCAGCCAGUUCCACCCUCAGCUUCUCUCAGAAGGGAGCACCACACUCCUCAAGCUCAGUGAAUGUAUCCCGGCAUGGGUGGGGCCAGAGCCUGUGAUAUCUCGAGGUGGGCUCGGCAGGACACCGGGGUGUGGAAGGGGGAAGCGAGCACCUGACUCAGACAGCGCGGGAGCUCGCAGGAGUCACGAGGCCACAGCGACUUCAUUGUCUGACUGGGCCUGGACCUAUAAACUUCCCACCUCAGCCUUGGGCCAAGCCUGGAAGAUAAAAAUGGAGCACCCCAUGGCGCCCCUCACUCAGAUUCUCCCCUGGGCUUCUCCCACGCAGCCCCAGAAGAGGACACACCAGCCCCAGAGUUAGCCCCAGAGGCCCCUGAGCCUCCUGAAGAGCCCCGCCUAGGAGUGCUGACCGUGACCGACACAACCCCAGACUCCAUGCGCCUCUCGUGGAGCGUGGCCCAGGGCCCCUUUGAUUCCUUCGUGGUCCAGUAUGAGGACACGAAUGGGCAGCCCCAGGCCUUGCUCGUGGACGGCGACCAGAGCAAGAUCCUCAUCUCAGGCCUGGAGCCCAGCACCCGCUACAGGUUCCUCCUCUAUGGCCUCCAUGAAGGGAAGCGCCUGGGGCCCCUCUCAGCUGAGGGCACCACAGGGCUGGCUCCUGCUGGUCAGACCUCAGAGGAGUCAAGGCCCCGCCUGUCCCAGCUGUCUGUGACUGACGUGACCACCAGUUCACUGAGGCUCAACUGGGAGGCCCCACCGGGGGCCUUCGACUCCUUCCUGCUCCGCUUUGGGGUUCCAUCACCAAGCACUCUGGAGCCGCAUCCGCGUCCACUGCUGCAGCGCGAGCUGAUGGUGCCGGGGACGCGGCACUCGGCCGUGCUCCGGGACCUGCGUUCCGGGACUCUGUACAGCCUGACACUGUAUGGGCUGCGAGGACCCCACAAGGCCGACAGCAUCCAGGGAACCGCCCGCACCCUCAGCCCAGUUCUGGAGAGCCCCCGUGACCUCCAAUUCAGUGAAAUCAGGGAGACCUCAGCCAAGGUCAACUGGAUGCCCCCACCAUCCCGGGCGGACAGCUUCAAAGUCUCCUACCAGCUGGCGGACGGAGGGGAGCCUCAGAGUGUGCAGGUGGACGGCCGGGCCCGGACCCAGAAACUCCAGUUCCUGACGGUCCCACACAGUUGCGUGCACUGAACUUGACCGAGGGAUUCGCCGUGCUGCACUGGAAGCCCCCCCAGAAUCCUGUGGACACCUAUGACGUCCAGGUCACAGCCCCUGGGGCCCCGCCUCUGCAGGCGGAGACCCCAGGCAGCGCGGUGGACUACCCCCUGCAUGACCUUGUCCUCCACACCAACUACACCGCCACAGUGCGUGGCCUGCGGGGCCCCAACCUCACUUCCCCAGCCAGCAUCACCUUCACCACAGGGCUAGAGGCCCCUCGGGACUUGGAGGCCAAGGAAGUGACCCCCCGCACCGCCCUGCUCACUUGGACUGAGCCCCCAGUCCGGCCCGCAGGCUACCUGCUCAGCUUCCACACCCCUGGUGGACAGAACCAGGAGAUCCUGCUCCCAGGAGGGAUCACAUCUCACCAGCUCCUUGGCCUCUUUCCCUCCACCUCCUACAAUGCACGGCUCCAGGCCAUGUGGGGCCAGAGCCUCCUGCCGCCCGUGUCCACCUCUUUCACCACGGGUGGGCUGCGGAUCCCCUUCCCCAGGGACUGCGGGGAGGAGAUGCAGAACGGAGCCGGUGCCUCCAGGACCAGCACCAUCUUCCUCAACGGCAACCGGGAGCGGCCCCUGAACGUGUUUUGGGACAUGGAGACUGAUGGGGGCGGCUGGCUGGUGUUCCAGCGCCGCAUGGAUGGACAGACAGACUUCUGGAGGGACUGGGAGGACUAUGCCCAUGGUUUUGGGAACAUCUCUGGAGAGUUCUGGCUGGGCAAUGAGGCCCUGCACAGCCUGACACAGGCAGGUGACUACUCCAUGCGCGUGGACCUGCGGGCUGGGGACGAGGCUGUGUUCGCCCAGUACGACUCCUUCCACGUAGACUCGGCUGCGGAGUACUACCGCCUCCACUUGGAGGGCUACCACGGCACCGCAGGGGACUCCAUGAGCUACCACAGCGGCAGUGUCUUCUCUGCCCGUGAUCGGGACCCCAACAGCUUGCUCAUCUCCUGCGCUGUCUCCUACCGAGGGGCCUGGUGGUACAGGAACUGCCACUACGCCAACCUCAACGGGCUCUACGGGAGCACAGUGGACCAUCAGGGAGUGAGCUGGUACCACUGGAAGGGCUUCGAGUUCUCGGUGCCCUUCACGGAAAUGAAGCUGAGACCAAGAAACUUUCGCUCCCCAGCGGGGGGAGGCUGAGCUGCUGCCCACCUCUCUCGCACCCCAGUAUGACUGCCGAGCACUGAGGGGUCGCCCCGAGAGAAGAGCCAGGGUCCUUCACCACCCAGCCGCUGGAGGAAGCCUUCUCUGCCAGCGAUCUCGCAGCACUGUGUUUACAGGGGGGAGGGGAGGGGUUCGUACGGGAGCAAUAAAGGAGAAACUGAGGUACCCGG